GAUCUAACCAUGACCAGGAUGAAGCGUGGGUAACACUACGUGGAGGUCCGAACCGACUGAUGUUGAAAAAUCAGCGGAUGAGUUGAGGUUAGGGGUGAAAUGCCAAUCGAACCAAGAGCUAGCUGGUUCUCCCCGAAAUGCGUUUAGGCACAGCGUCAGAAUUAUCUUACAGGAGGUAGAGCACUGGUUUUGUGCGGGCGGCGAAAUGCUGUACCAAACAAUGUCAAACUCCGAAUGCCUGUAAAGUUACUAUCUGGCAGUGAGGCUACGAGUGAUAAGAUCCGUGGCCAAGAGGGAAACAGCCCAGAACGCCAGUUAAGGUCCCUAAUAUAUGCUAAGUGGUUAAGGAGGUAGAGUUGCAUUGACAACCAGGAGGUUGGCUUAGAAGCAGCCAUCCCUUGAAAGAGUGCGUAAUAGCUCACUGGUCAAGCGACUCCGCGCCGAAAAUACACCGGGACUCAAGCAUAUAACCGAAGCUGCGUCAUUUGAGUUUACUCAGAUGGGUAGGGGAGCGUUCUGUUGUAGGACGAAGUAAGAUCGAAAGGACUUAUGGACGAAACAGAAGUGAGAAUGUCGGCAUAAGUAGCGAAAACAUUGGUGAGAAUCCAAUGCACCGUAAACCUAAGGUUUCCCCUGGCAGGCUCGUCCGCAGGGGGUUAGUCGGAACCUAAGAUGAGGCCGAAAGGCGUAGUCGAUGGACAUCAGGUUGAUAUUCCUGAACUAUCUGGUAAUCGUUAUCAGAUGCGGAGGGACGCAGGAGGAUAGGCACGCAGCCGACUGGAAGAGGCUGUUUAAGCGUGUAGCUAGUUUGAGUAGGAAAAUCCGCUCAGGCGUUAUGACGUGAGGCGUAAUGAGGAGAGUCUACGGACUCGAAGGUGUUGACUCCACACUGCCAAGAAAAACUUCGCAAUCGAGAUUAUCCGGUAUCCGUACCGUAAACCGCCACAGGUAGGUUAGUAGAAAAUACUAAGGUGCGCGAGACAACUCUCGCUAAGGAACUCGGCAAAAUCACCUCGUAACUUCGGGAGAAGAGGUACCCUGGUAGAGUGAAGCGAUUUACUCGUGGAGCUUGAUAGGGUCGCAGUGAAUUGGCCCAUGCGACUGUUUACCAAAAACACAGGUCUCUGCUAAGUCGAACAAGACGAUGUAUAGGGGCUGACGCCUGCCCGGUGUCGGAAGGUUACGUGGAAGGGUUAGUAGUAAUACGAAGCUCUGAAACUAAGCCCCGAUGAACGGCGGCCGUAACUAUAACGGUCCUAAGGUAGCGAAAUUCCUUGUCAGGUAAGUUCUGACCCGCACGAAUGGCGUAACGAUAUGGGCGCUGUCUCGGCGAGAGGCUCGGCGAAAUUGGAUUAUCCGUGAAGAUACGGAUUACGUGUACCAGGACAGAAAGACCCUAUUGAGCUUUACUGUAGCUUGAAAUUGAAUUCGGGUUCUUAUUGUGCAGUAUAGGUGGGAGACAAUGAAGAAGGGACGUCAGUUCUUUUGGAGUCAUCGUUGAGAUACCACUCUGUAAUAAUUUGAAUUCUAACCUUGAUCCCUCUAAGAACAGGGCAAGGGACAGUUUCUGGUAGGCAGUUUGACUGGGGCGGUCGCCUCCUAAAAAGUAACGGAGGCGUUCAAAGGUUCCCUCAGGUUGGUCGGAAAUCAACCGUUGAGUGUAAUAGCACAAGGGAGCUUGACUGCGAGACCUACAAGUCGAGCAGGUACGAAAGUAGGAUAUAGUGAUCCGGUGGUUCUGUAUGGAAGGGCCAUCGCUCAUCGGAUAAAAGUUACCAUAGGGAUAACAGGCUUAUCUCCCCCAAGAGUCCACAUCGACGG
rnacentral:rRNA from 1 species